UAGGGAAUCUUCGGCAAUGGGGGGAACCCUGACCGAGCAACGCCGCGUGAGUGAAGAAGGUUUUCGGAUCGUAAAGCUCUGUUGUUAAGGAAGAACGAGUGUGAGAAUGGAAAGUUCAUGCUGUGACGGUACUUAACCAGAAAGGGACGGCUAACUACGUGCCAGCAGCCGCGGUAAUACGUAGGGUGCGAGCGUUGUCCGGAAUUACUGGGCGUAAAGAGCUCGUAGGUGGUUUGUCGCGUCGUCUGUGAAAUUCCGGGGCUUAACUCCGGGCGUGCAGGCGAUACGGGCAUAACUUGAGUGCUGUAGGGGAGACUGGAAUUCCUGGUGUAGCGGUGAAAUGCGCAGAUAUCAGGAGGAACACCGAUGGCGAAGGCAGGUCUCUGGGCAGUAACUGACGCUGAGGAGCGAAAGCAUGGGUAGCGAACAGG
rnacentral:rRNA from 1 species